GGCUCUGCGGCGCUGCUGAGGGUCUCUCCACGCUGGGACCAGCAGCAUCGCCGGGAAGCAGCAGGGGAGCUGAGCUGGAUCUGGCCUGCAGCUCCAUAAAACGGGACGGCUGGGGCCAAGAUCCGCGCCCGCCCUCAGUGCGCGCCGCCCGGCAGCGCCCGCCGGCGCCGGCGGCCGCAGGGCGCUGCAGAAAGCAUCUCCGCGGGCGCGGUGCACGGCCG